UUUAUGUUUAGGGUUUAGAGUUGACGUUUUAGGGUUUUGAUUUGAAGGUUUAGGGUUUAGGGUUUAGGGUUUAGAGUUGAUGUUUCGGGGUUUAGGGUUUAGAGUUGAUGGUUCAUGGUUUCGGGUGUAGAGUUGAUGAUUUAGGGUUUAGAGUUGAUGUUUUAAGUUUAGAUUUAGGGUUUAGGGUUUGCGUUUAGGGUUUAGAGUUGAUGUUUUAGGAUUUAGAUUUGAAGAUUUAGGUUUUAGGGUUUAGGGUUUAGAGUUUAGGGUUUAGAGUUGAUGUUUCUGGGUUUAGUGUUUAGAGUUGAUGUUUCAUGGUUUAGGGUUUAGUGUUGAUGAUUUCGGGUUUAGAGUUGAUGUUUUAAGUUUAGAUUAGUUAACCGUAUGUUUUUUUUUUU
rnacentral:lncRNA from 1 species